UGGGGAAUAUUGCACAAUGGGCGCAAGCCUGAUCCAGCCAUGCCGCGUGUGUGAAGAAGGCCUUCGGGUUGUAAAGCACUUUCAGCGGGGAUGAAGGCGGUGAGGUUAAUAACCUCAUCGAUUGACGUUACCCGCAGAAGAACCACCGGCUAACUCCGUGCCAGCAGCCGCGGUAAUACGGAGGGUGCAAGCGUUAAUCGGAAUUACUGGGCGUAAAGCGCACGCAGGCGGUCUGUCAAGUCGGAUGUGAAAUCCCCGGGCUCAACCUGGGAACUGCAUUCGAAACUGGCAGGCUAGAGUCUUGUAGAGGGGGGUAGAAUUCCAGGUGUAGCGGUGAAAUGCGUAGAGAUCUGGAAGAAUACCGGUGGCGAAGGCGGCCCCCUGGACAAAGACUGACGCUCAGGUGCGAAAGCGUGGGGAGCAAACAGG
rnacentral:rRNA from 1 species